AUGCCCCUAGACUUCACCAAGCACUUCGUCACGGUGCCGACGGAGUUAAAGCUCAGGAACAACACUGGUUGCUCCUGGAAGGUGACGGUGAAGCUGAUGAACGGCAGGGUGACCCUGGAUCAGGGUUGGGCCACCUACGCAACCAUUCAUCAGAUCAAGAUCGGCUACAUGGUGACGUUCAAGCUCCUCACUCCCCACACCCUCAAGGUCAUCAUCUUCGAUGAUGAUGGCAUUGAGAUCGUCAACAAGUGCGGGAAGCACGACGAAGCCUUCGCCGCCAAGGACUAG
rnacentral:rRNA from 1 species